UACGGGGGGUGCAAGCGUUGUCCGGAAUCACUGGGCGUAAAGGGCGCGUAGGUGGUUUGAUAAGGGUGUGGUGAAAGCCCGGAGCUCAACUCCGGGUCUGCCGUGCCGACUGUCAAACUCGAGGACUGUAGAGGCAGACGGAAUUCCGGGUGUAGCGGUGGAAUGCGUAGAGAUCCGGAGGAAGACCGGUGGCGAAGGCGGUCUGCUGGGCAGUUUCUGACACUGAGGCGCGACAGCGUGGGGAGCAAACAGG
rnacentral:rRNA from 1 species